rnacentral:lncRNA from 1 species
ACCAUAGUGCCAACAUAGUAGUACAUCAGAAAAUACAGGAAUGCAGCCUUGCCUUACAAAGUUACUCAACAGUCGUGGAAAACAUGAUCGUUCUUGUAAACAGAAGUUACGUUUUUUAUGAUUGCGUGCGCAUCCAUGCUGAAGGGAACAACAAUAUACAUCAACAAUAGCAACAGAACCUUUUAAGCUAAGCUGAGUAAAACGUAGACAUAGUUUUCUGAAUAGCUGCAGUGAGCUAGCGAUUCAUCCUCUUCCUUUUCUUCAAACCGGGAACACAGUUCUACCUAAAUUCCCGAGGAAAUCAU